UACCAGCUCUCCGAGUGGUAGGGAUGAUUAUUGGGCUUAAAGCGUCCGUAGCCGGCUUAGCAAGUCUCCUGUUAAAUUCAGCGACCUAAUCGUUGAGCCGCGGGAGACACUACUAGGCUAGGAGGCGGGAGAGGCCGGCGGUAUUCUCGGGGUAGGGGUGAAAUCCUAUAAUCCCGGGAGGACCACCAGUGGCGAAGGCUGUCGGCUAGAACGCGCUCGACGGUGAGGGACGAAAGCUGAGGGAGCGAACCGGAUUAGAUACCCGGGUAGUCCCAGCUGUAAACGAUGCGGGCUAGGUGUUGGGGUGGCUACGAGCCACUUCAGUGCCGCAGGGAAGCCAUUAAGCCCGCCGCCUGGGGAGUACGGCCGCAAGGCUGAAACUUAAGGAAUUGGCGGGGAGCACCACAAGGCGUGAAGCUUGCGGUUC
rnacentral:rRNA from 1 species